UUUAGAAAUAUAGUUACCAAAUAGCAAAUUGCAUUUUAUAAAAGCUCUACUUCAAAAAAGCUCUACUAUCAACAGCUGUACCAAAUGGGGCUUUAAUCUUUUUUCUAUUAACCUUGUUGGUUAGUUACAUUGAUCCACAUAACUUUUCAUUGGCGUAGAAAACAUUUUUGCACUUUGUUCUAGAUACUUCACCGCUCCUUUUUCAUCCUCUCUCUUUAAUUUUCAUGAUUUCAUGCCUGAGUUUGUAUAUAAUUUUAGUAUGUUUCUGAAUGUAAAAUGUGAGGGUGGGCCUUGGUGCAAUGGUAAGUUUGCUCCAUUUUGACCUAUGCAUCAUGAUUCAAAACACCUCUCGAGAUUCCAUACGGUGGAAACUAGGGAUGGCAAUAAACGGCGUAUGGAUCGGGUCGGUCAAUACCUGUACCAGCCCUGCAAUUAAAAACUUUGUACCAUACCCGCCCCAUACCCAUCUUGGGUUGGGUCAGGUUGGGUAAAGUAGAUGGGGCAGCUUAUGGCGGGUCAGGUAGACAAGAUGAGUUGGGUCGACUAUGGUUGGAUAAUUAUAAUUUAGAGCUAUAAUUAAUGAGAUUGCAACUACUAUAUAAAUAAGUGAAGCUUAUAGCUUGUUCUUUUAUGACCCAAUUUUUAAUUCAGAUAGAGAGAAUCCUAGUAUAUAUAUCAAUAACUAUAAUAUAUUCUAAUAAGAAAUAGUUCAUUCAUAAGUCAAAUUAAUUGGGGGCUUAGAAAUAAAACAAACAAAAAUAAUCGAUUGUUGUGAUUUUCAGAGAAUAAAUAUGUUUUCCAAGUUUCAACAAUAAUAAUUUUCUAGGUUGGGGGGGGGGGCAACUGAGGUGAACAGGAUUGUGACAGUUACACCAUCUAUCGAAUGAACAGGGGGCGGGGCAUACCAUUACCCAUAUGAAACCCAAACCCACUUUUGGUAUUAUAUCUAAAAUCCAUAGUUGCUCCUGAGUUUAAAUAGAUUGGGUAAAACCUGGCUCAUUCAAGUCAGGUUGGGUCGGUUACUUGAUGGGUCAGUUAAAAUUGCCACCCCAAGCGGAAACCUCAGGGAUGCCUUUUUUUUUUUUCCUUGAAUGUAGCAUGUAUCAUAAAGUUAAGAUUUAUGACAUCUAGGAAUGAUUAUACUCUAUUAAGUGGUGAAUGAUUGUUGUACUUUUUAUUAUGUUGUAGGAUGUAGUCAUAACUUCUGGAUUUGAAAUGGACCAACAAUUAAGAUAUGCUGGUUGACUCAGUGAUUUAUUUUUGGAACUGAGAUUGACUUGUUAGAAAGCCAAAUAUUGUGUAUUCUAGGUAAAUAGUCUGUUUUGGUUUCGUAGAACUCACUUCUCAUAGGUUAAACACGAUUCCUUUUUUGAGUUCCAAAAGGGCUCCAUUUAUUUUUAUCCAGUAAUUAACUUGUGUCUAGCCAUUAGCUGAUGUAGCUUUGUGUUCUUUAUUCUCGGAAUCCAUUCUUUUCUUGUUUCUUUUUUCUUUUUUCUUUUUAACAAUGUUGUCUCCUUGCACCUUCGUAUUUGUACCUUCGUAUUUGUGCUCCCUACUAGAUCUAAACAUUUCCGUUGAACAUGCGCAGAUGAUUCCAUGACCUGUACAUGGUUGGACAGCCAUACUCUUUCUAGUUCCCUUUAGAUGAGAUGAAGUUGCUUGGUUCCUCCUAGUUAGAGACCAAGUUUCUUUGUUUUAUUUACAUGAAUAAUACACACUUGCAUUGCAGUCUGAAUCUAAGUUGCACAUGAUAAUGUACUUGCUUGAUUUUCUGUUGUCGGUCAGCCUUUGUAGUUUAGGUGAUUAUGGAUGGUCACUCUCUUUGCCAACUAUUCCUUUUUUAACCACAACUUUUAUGUUGAUUAUACAGUAUACACUCUUUGUUCAUAGGCAGUCUACUUCAUCAGUAUUUGUUGCUUGGAGCUUCAAAACUGCAUCAUCCUAGAACUUUACCAAGCUUAUAACAAGUUUAUUCUUCUCUUUGUGGUCUUAAUUGUCUAGAUAUCUUCUGAGCUAUUUUCGGACCCUAUGCGGCAGCAAAAGUUUGAUAUUGACUCGAUCUUUUGGGUGAAGAUUACAGCAUCUUUACCGAUUCCUGUGAUAGCCUUCAAAUGAACAACCAUAACUCCUGGUUAUCUUAUCUUAUAGCUGCUAGAUUUGUGAUUUUGUGGGGGGAAAGCGUCCUUGAUGUAUCCUAUCCAUUGAUGUCCCUUUAGCAAGCAUAUCUAAUAGGUGGAACAGAAUGCUAAGGUUGAAAAACAGUCCGAUCCUAGUUUUUCUUGAAGUAUGGUAAGUAUAUUUUGCUUUAUUUGUGGUAGACUCCAGAAUUUGUCUUGGUAUACAUUUAUUGCUUAGGGCUGUGAUUUCUUGAAUCAGAUUAGUUUUUUAGGUCUGUUCUUGUUGUUUGACAAGGUUUAUAAUAUGGCUAUGUUACUUUCAUUCGCCAACUGCUAGCUCAGUUGGCAUCCCUAUCUUCGGGGCUUGCCUUUUGAGGAGAUCCAGCAAUACUGCUAGUGCUUAAUUAUGUUAAUUUUGUAAUUGUGACAUGACUGGCAAGGGCUUGGCAAAGUAUAUCUGAGGGUAUUGUUUACAUAACAUCUUUGCUAACGAUAGAAGUAUCUUAGAUAAUUCUGCGGCACUAUCAGGGGAAAGUUCAAUAAUAAUUAAAACAAGAAAACUUCAUCCUUGGCAAUAUAAGUAGACCGGACAUCAAGGUACAUGACACAAGCCAAGUGUCUGGGAUUUAACUUAACAAGUUGAGAACAGAGACCGCUAAUUGAUAUUACUUUAAUUUAACAUAGCAGGCUGAGCACUAAUGUGCAAAUGAACAUGGGAUUGUAGGCAAAUGGUGGCGAGGCAUUAUCUCCCAAUUUCAGCUUCUGUUGCAGAUGAACAAAGGCAUUGGGCGCUGGCUCAUUGUCAACUUGUAUGUUUAUUUUAUUUGGGGUUUUCUCAUGCAAGGGCUCUGUUAUAAAGAAAAAAUAGGCAAUAUUGAGAUGUCAAAAAAAUGAGGAGAAUUAAGAGUGGGUGAUGAAUCCAUAUAUACGAAGCAUCUCUAAAUCUUGAAUUUCUCUAGACUUUGUUUUUGGACAAACACAAUCUUGUUGAUUCAGAACCCUGGGUACUUUACCAGUCACUUCUUUUACUAUUUUUAAUCAUUAUUCCUUUUCUUUUUUGCUUUUUAUCCUCGCGAACUUUAGGAUUUUCUACAAUGGCUCAAAGUUUCCAACAAGAAGUUUGAGGUGGAAAAAUUUAAAGGAUGAGCAAGAAAAAUUCUGUCUAUGCCAGUUAAUUCUGAUUGACUUCUAGAUGGUUUAGAGAACAUUGAUCAUAAAGUCGAGGUGGUAAUUAUGAGCUCCAAGGAAUUAUAAGACCUAAAUUUAUAAAUGGCAAGCAUAUUUCUGUUGUGUGCAUCCCCAUUAGGAUAAAGACCCAAAUAGAUUAUGGAUAUUUUGUGGAAACUAAUUUCAGUCCAGAAAUUUGCUCAGACAGAUAAAAGACCACCUUAAGAGUUGAAGCUUCUGCAGAAGAUAACAGUGUAGUUUGCAACUCUCUGUGGUGUAAUACUUUUUUAAUCUGCCUGCAGGCACUCGAAUAAUUAUUUUGAAGAUGCCAUUCAACAAGAUGAUGGGCGAACUUUUUAAUGAAAGAUGCACCAUCCCUCUUAGGAAUCAACAUGAUGCAAGUACAAUCAGUAGAAUCUAAAUUGGUGCUGCCAUUGAAUAAGUCUUGAAGAGUAUGUCUUCUCUUAAAGUGUCGAGCAAUUGAGGACAUGAGCCUUUUAACCUCCAAGGCCGAAAUCAAAUUUGCUUAAUAACCUCAAUCCUGAAAGCUCCAGAGAUGGAGUCGCUUUAAAAUCUAUUCAAAAAAAUUGAAAUGCUUUGAGAGCCGUAUGGAGCGCAAUCCAACAGUUGAUAUUGCUCCAAAGAAAAAAAAUCGUGAGCUGAUCCUGAUCAAUCGGAUUUACCUGUGGCUUCUGAGCUGGCAAUGCAAACUUACUAGGGGUUAUAAUUUUGAGUCGUAUCAAAAAAAAAAAAAAACAUGAGGGGUCCUUAUCGAUCUGAUUUACCCAUGGGUUCUGAGUUGGCAGUGCAAACUCACCAUGGGUCACAGUGUUGAGUCACAAGGGAAUUUGGCAGUGAGUCCCCUAUUAACCCGCUGCUGAAGAUGUAAGCAAACUUAUUAACGGCUCCAUCCGGCAAGCGGAUAAAUAUAAAAAAACGCUCAUGGCCUAAGCCCCUUCACGCAAACCAGGCUUCUUCAACAUCGGUAAAGAAGCCUCGGCCUCCCCACUUUGUCCCCGUGCUUUCUCCUCAAGAGAGGAGGCGAGCAAUCUACCACUCCUCCUCCUCCUCUCUCUCUCUCUCUCUCUCUCUCUCUCUCUCUCCCUUCACCUUCUUCUUCUUCUUCUUCUUCUUCUGCUUCUCUGGCUUCUCCUCCUCCUCAUCCUCCCCCUCCCUUUUUCUUUUCGUAUGUUGAGGCGAUGAUUAUAGGUGGCUUGCGAAGGGAUUGUUCUUCUUCUCCUCUUCUUUGCAUGCCUCCUCCUCCUUGUUCUUUUUCUUCUUCUUCUUCUUCUUCUUAUUAUUAUUAUUAUUAUUCUCUGGCGAUGGGGCGAGGCAGCUCUGGAAGGUCAUGUGUUCCGCAGACAACCGAGCUGUAGCCAUUGUUAGGUGAGGAAGAGAAAAGACGGUGAGAUCAUCUCCCUAAGUCGGUUUUUUAGUUUUCUUUCUCAAGAUUGGCUGGUCUUCUUUCUCUUCUUCUCUUUCUGCUUGUUUUUGGUCUUCCAGGUGGAUAAUGGCCGCGAUGUUGUGAUUCUCGUUAUCUUUUUCUCUUUCUUCUUUCUUGCUUUUCUUCUUAUUCUUCUUUGUUUCCCAAAUUUGGGAGAGCGGCAUUGCUUUUGGGUUCUAUACGACGAGGUUGUGAUGAUUCUUUGACGAGGUUUUGCUAUGUUUGAGCGGAAAACGGCUAUUUUCUUGAUGGCGAGGCAAUCUUGGAUGGUCUGCUUCUGUUCGUCUGCAGGCAACCGUUUGCAGCCAUUUUGAUUUAUUAGUUGCGGUGCAAGUGGUGAAUCUGAGCCUCCCUAUUCAUUUUCCCCUUCGCAGCUUUCUAAUUUCUGUUUUUUUUUUUUUUUUCAAGAUUCUGUUUUUUUAGGGUUUCUUGAAUGUCUUUACUGUGAUGAGUAUUGCCGUCGAAGAGUUUAUAGCAAAUUAGGGUUUUAAGAACCCAAAUCCAGUUAAAAACUAGCGGUAACAAGGGAACUACUUGAGUUGCUUCCUUCUCUUUGUUCCUUUCUCCUUCUUCAUUAUUUAUUUUCCUUCCUUUUAACUAACAUUGUGACAAAUGAGAACCUGGAAUCUCUCUAUCCUCCAGACCUUGUAGGAAAAUUCUGUAUUGCUAAAUAAAGCUACUGUUACCAACUAGAGAUGGUUUCGCUACGCCACUGCAGGAGGGGCAUAGAAAUUUCUCUAGAGCUGGGAUUUACCUGGCUUCGUAUUCUAGUGGCGACAUCAUUAUUGUAUGGCAGGCUUAAGCUGAUUUGGUUUAGGUGCUGACUGAAUAAAAAAGGUUCGAGCAAGAAAUGUGGUAAGUGGGAAGGGACUUCACCAAAGUUUGACUGUACUGUCUAUAGUGGGAUGGGAUAUUUAGGGAGUAGUAGGGAUGAAAUUGGUGAAUGAUGAUAUGUUUCGAGCACCAUCAAACAUCAAGAAAUCGGCACUUUAAAGAAUAUCGCAGUCGAGCAGUUUAACAUAAAGUGGACUCGAAGUGCUUGUUGAGAGAUAUCUCAGAUUCCUUUGGGAAGGGACAUGCUUUUCAGGGUUUUGGUCUGGAUGCUCCAACUUAUGCAACCCAACUUUUGGAUUAAUGCAAGCACGAGCUCACCACUUUUGGACUCUUGCAUGAUGUUCUCUUGCCUUGGAUGGAAACUUUUUCCCUAUAUACACAAAGGGGAAUUUAGUUUUGUUGCAGGUGAUUGCUCAAUUUAGGGGAUAAGCUAGUACUUGCAGAGGAAGAUCAUCUGUUCUUGAAGUUCCUUUUGGAAUGCACUGUGUCCUGUUUUAAGCAACAAGUUCUUCCAAGUUGCAUAUGAUGCAGUUCUCAAGCUUUUCUCAUAACAAGAGUUGUGUGAAGCAACAAGUUUUUUUUCUGAGUUACAUAGGUUGAAGUUCUUUAGCAAUUCUUAUAGGAUUAGAAACAAAUUAGUAUACUUUGCAUAUCUAGAGUUCCUUGAACUGAUUAGAGUCAUGGAUACGUGAAAUGGAAAUUUGACUGAUACGGACUGCUGUAUAGCUCAGUGGAUAUUUGGUUUAUAUUGACUGCUCUGUAGCUCAAGCUUGAGAUUGCUGUUUCCACAUCUGCUAUUUCUGGUUUUCUACAACAGGUGCCGGAAACAGACUGACCUUAUGUGCUUCAGUUCAGUAGACAAUUGGUCACUUUCUGGUGGCCAAUUAGCACCUGAGAUCAUUGAUAGUGUAUUUGCUAAUUAUUUUAAAUUUUUUGCACUGAUAAUGAGUUUUUUGAUUAUAUGAAACAUUUCUCCUAA